AUGUCUGAUAAUACUUAACAGCUAUGUAAAAGAUGCAUAAAAGUGAUCCGAGAAAAAUUUUCCCCCUUAAAAUUAGAUAAUUUUAAGUUAUGUGCUGACUGCCCAAAGGAAUAUAGGAGCAUUCCACAGAUAACUGAGACUUAAGUAACCUUAAAAAAAACAUAACAGUUUGCCAAACAGAAGUGCUCAUCUACAGAUAACACUUUAAAACCAGUGAAUUAAAACAUGCAUUAGAACAAUGACCAAAUUUAAAGAAUUUACACAUAGUUGCCUGAUGCGUGUGCGAAGCCAUGAAAGAAAGUCUGCAGACACUAAUGAGAGGCAAAAGAGAGCACAUCUUACUGCCUGAUGUAGUAGAGAUUACAGGAUCAGCAAGAAGCCAGCUGGUCAAGGCCAUGCAACUCUUGGUGCAAGGUGAAUACAGAGGAAGCGGCAUUCUGUGCCUCAGAGAGUAUGUCCCCAAGCUCCUACUGGUGUCACUGAAGCAAUUUGUGUACAAGAACAAAUGCCGACAAAUUGAUCACAGCACCCAGAAUCUGGUUCUUAUCCGUGAGUGUAGCAUGGAUUUUGGAGCACACUACAUGUUUUUAGGAUGAAGGACGAUCAGUACAUGGAAAGUGAAGAGUGUGCUGCAGCCACCCAGCACAGCAGAGGGCUGGCCUCACUGAGUAAGAUCUCAGGUUUCUAAAUGGCUUCUUCUACAAUAUCCCUGUGUUUAUCAUUCUCAGACAAGCUGGGAUUCACAUGAUGUUGACAACCAUAAUAUAUUCUCUGUAAAUUGCAAUUGGAUCUUUGAAUCUCCAGACAGUUGAGAAACUAGUUUCUCUCACCUGUUUAAUUAACCAUGUCAUGUUUUCCAAAGAGAAUUAAUUGUCUCAUUGAAGCAGUAAGGAGACUGAAAGGUUCAAAAGAAAAAUAAAUAUGAGUGUGUAGCAGAGUAAACA
rnacentral:lncRNA from 1 species